rnacentral:rRNA from 1 species
CCUACGGGUGGCAGCAGUGGGGAAUAUUGCACAAUGGGCGCAAGCCUGAUGCAGCCAUGCCGCGUGUGUGAAGAAGGCCUUCGGGUUGUAAAGCACUUUCAGCGGGGAGGAAGGCGGUGAGGUUAAUAACCUCAUCGAUUGACGUUACCCGCAGAAGAAGCACCGGCUAACUCCGUGCCAGCAGCCGCGGUAAUACGGAGGGUGCAAGCGUUAAUCGGAAUUACUGGGCGUAAAGCGCACGCAGGCGGUCUGUCAAGUCGGAUGUGAAAUCCCCGGGCUCAACCUGGGAACUGCAUUCGAAACUGGCAGGCUAGAGUCUUGUAGAGGGGGGUAGAAUUCCAGGUGUAGCGGUGACAUGCGUAGAGAUCUGGAGGAAUACCGGUGGCGAAGGCGGCCCCCUGGACAAAGACUGACGCUCAGGUGCGAAAGCGUGGGGAGCAAACAGGAUUAGAUACCCCAGUAGUC